rfam:Nicotiana attenuata strain TT chromosome 12, whole genome shotgun sequence.
UGGACAGAUUAUUGUAUUCGACUGUAUUCACGGCGUGAAACAGGGGAUUACACUGUUUUUGAACGGAAAGUGAAUCAAUUAACAUAAUAGACUCCU